GUUUUAAUAUAAACUGAUGACGUGUGUCUGGUGGGCGUGGCUGCUGCAGCUCGAGCCGUCUGCUCUCUGCUGAUAGAGUUCUGUGUGCAGAAGGACUUCACUCACAUUAUGAAGAAGAAGGACAAGGAGAAAAGAGGACUGCCGGUGACCCUUUCAAACACCGUCCGCUGGCUCCUCCCACUCCUGUGACAUCACAGCGAGGGGCUCGAACCGUUGGCGCCGAGGCCACGAGGAGUACGCUGCCCAGCGAGCCAACCAAGAAGAGACCUGAA